AGUUAAUUUUCAUCAUUCAUGCCACUGAAGGGCUCAGGAAUGUGGGCCCAAAAGGGAGGGGUGGAUUAUGCCAAGUUUUUUCCCAGACCCAGGUGUCUUGCUCCCCCCGUCACAGUGACUUUUGGGGUGAGAAAUGUGGGUAAUGGGGAACUUUCAUCUUUGAAUGUUUUGUUUUAGUUGCUCUAAAAUAUCCUGGAUACUCAGGUGGAGACAUGAGUUCCAUCAGACAUCCUCCCCCCUCCCACCCGGGGCACUCGUGCAAAAGGGACGCCUCAUACUCCCAGCAACACCCUCACACAUAGGCACUCAGAGUGGCAAAUCCGAGGACAGACAUGUGGAGGGAGUCUGGAGCCCAUCUAGUUUACCAUUUUUCUUUAGAAACUAGGAAGCUAAGGCCCAGAGAGGGUAAAUGACCUACUAAGGUCACAUGGCAAAUCAGCAGCAGAGAGAUGAGAUCCCAUCCCUCAUAAUGCCAGACACAGCGGUCAACUCAACAGAUUGACACACCAGUCACGUAACCCCCUGGAACACACAAAGGCACACACACUUCAUCUUCCUAUCCGCCUCCCUUAGCAUCGUUUCCCCUCUUCCCAGAAAACCAGUGGGCCCAGCACAGAGGGAUGGAGGCAGAGAGAGCACUGGGCAGAGUCAGGAGAGAAGCCAGAAGCAAGGUGAGGAAAUUGGAGAGAUGGAGAGAGACACACGGUCUACACGGUAAAUAAAGUGAGACAUCCAGGGACUAAGACUUGCACUGGGAGCAAGAAGCCCAGGGAGGGAAGAAUAAAUGGAUGAAAAGAUCAGCAGAUACAGGAGGUGUGAGCAGGGGGAAGAAGGCGGGAACACAGAGAGAUGCUUUGGGGCAUCUGAGUCUUGAGGGUAGGAGUGCCCCUGUGUCUUUCCCAGCCGGUGGCCCGUACUCUUUCCAUGUAAUCAUAGCUGACGCUGUGGUGUGCUAGGCACAUUAGAAACAUUGUUUCCUUUAAUGUUGUGACAACCCUUUGAACUAGGUACUAGACUAGGUACUAGACUACUCAGUUUUAGGGGUGAAGAAACUAAGACUUAGAUAGGUCAUGUGACUUGUCCGAGUGUGCACAGCUCGGAACUGGUGGAUCCCAGUGCAGUGGAUUCAGGACAGUCUGCCUCCACGUUGCACUGUCGCUGCACACACUGCGUCUUCCCUGGUGUCCCUCGUCUCCCCUCGCCCCUUCUUCACCAAAGGAAUGGAAAACUCCGUGGGCUGCUGCCAGUCUAGAUGAGUAAUGGCUCAGGUGUUCAUCUGCUUAACCUGCCCUGGGGUGUCCUAAGGGUCAGCUGCAGUUCCCAGGCCAUGACGUUCUCUACUCCCACCCAGCUCCCAAAUCCUGCUUCCCCCAGGGACCCAUAUAUCCUCACCCCCAGUGGUAUUUCUAGGAGCAAGAGGAGGACCUUGGGAUAGGGCACCUGGGUGUCCCCUCUCCCAGGAGGGUCUGGGCUGGGGCCUGCCUUGGGCCUGAGGGACAGGUCCCAGUCUGGGAAGAGCCCGGGGGCCAGGUAGGGGAGUCCUUAGGCUCUUACUCACUUUUCCCCUGGCCCAGUGCUUCCUGGGAUCAGGCUGGGACAGGUUAAUCCUCUGGGGACAGCUUGGUGACCUCUCCCUGGGGAUGGAGAUCCUGGUGAUGGAGGCCCCGGCACACCUGGCUCUCCCAAGACUUGUAAUAGGUCUGGGAGCCUUUAAAGAGCCAGGGAGAAGGGCCUGGAAAGACACACAGCUGGCACCAUGGACGCUGCACUGGUGCUGCUCCUGAGCCUGCAGGCCUUGGCGGGACUUGCUCAGCUGACCCCAUCGGGGAUCUCUAAUCCAGUAUCUGCUGGUCUCCCCACCGUCUCAGGGAGUCUCCCCACCGCCUCUGCUGGUCUCCCUACCAUCUCAGGGAGUCUCCCCACCGCCUCUGCGGGUCUCCCCACGGCCUCUGCGGGUCUCCCCACCGCCUCAGGGAGUCUCCCCACCGCCUCUGCUGGUCUCCCCACCGUCUCAGGGAGUCUCCCCACCGCCUCUGCUGGUCUCCCCACCGCCUCUGCGGGUCUCCCCACCAUCUCAGGGAGUCUCCCCACCGCCUCUGCGGGUCUCCCCACCGCCACCGUCUCAGGGAGUCUCCCCACCGCCUCAGGGAGUCUCCCCACCGUCUCAGGGAGUCUCCCCACUGCCUCUGCGGGUCUCCCCACCACCUCUGCGGGUCUCCCCAGGGCCUCUGUGGGUCUCCCCACUGUCUCUGCGAGUUUCUCAACAGUUUCUUCAGCCUCUGGGGGUUUUUCGGGUAGUCCUCAGACUUUGGCUCCGACCAUUUCUGGGAGCACUUCAGGAACAGUCUCAACAUUGCCAGGUAAUAUUUCUGUUGCUCAACCCAUCUCUGAAGAACUCUUUAGCUGUACCUCUGGGGCGGGGGUCCUUCCUGUGCUCCACCACGGGUACUCAGCAGUGCCCCAGAACCUCCUGGACCAGGGCCCUGGCCUUGGUGGCUGUACAAGGACCCCCUUCUUUGCUUUCAAUUUAUCAACCUUUUCUCUUGUGGUUGGUGUCUUCUGUAUCCUGCCUCAGGCUUUUUUUUUUUUGCCUACCUCAAGGUCAUGAAAAUAUUCUCCUACAUUUCCUUUCAGAAGCUGUCUUAUUUUAGCUUUCAAAUUUAAGCCUGUGCUCUAUCUCAGAUUAAUCUCUGUGUAUGGAGUGAGGUAGAGGUCACGGUUAAUUUUUUUUCCCUUAUGGAUUACCAACUGCCCCAGAACCAUUUAUGUCAAAGACCCUCCCUCUCUCCCCACCGGUGAAUCAUGUGAGUACCUUUAUCGAAGGUCAGGUGCCCACAUACGUGUGGGUCUAUUUCUGGACUCUGUUCUGUUCCUCUGUUUGUCUGUUCUUAUUCCAGUGCCACAGUGUUCAAUGACCGCAGCUUUGUAGCACGUCUCAAGAUAUGGUAGUAUGUCUUUCGCUUUUGUUUUUCUUUUGAGAAUGUCUUGGCUAUUCUCAGUCCUUUCACUUCCAUAGAGUCAGUUCAUCAAUUUCGACCAAAAACUUGCUAGGAUUUUGACUGAGGGUGCGUUAGAUGCAAUUUCUGCUUCUGCUCUUGCUUGGGUCUCUUCCGGUCAUUUUCCCCCGCUGCCUUUCUAGGAUCUGUCUCCCCCACGACAGCCCCUGGAGCUGCUCCAGCUGUGCCUGGGACUUCCACAUCGAGUGGGGCUGUCUCAGGAGGUUCCACUCCCACAACGGCUGGAGCGGCCACCAUGUCCCCUGGGCUCAGUGUCCCGAGCAGUAAGGCGCUCUUAUUCGCAUUGGGUCUUCUACCAGGAAAAUGUUGGUUGGGCCCCUUCUUUCUUAUUCCCCUGCAGCCGCCCUGGCUCCUGGAGUGGAGAACAGGGACAGGCCUUAGUGCCUGCUUCCAACUGUGUUUUGAGUAUGUCUGAGGAUGUCUCCAAUUCUUAAAGGCAUUUCAGUGCCCCCUCAAGCCUCUGAUCAGACCAAUACCCAGAUGUCUGUUACCUGAUUGCUUCCUCGAAAGGUUUUCAACUUCCUUCCUCAUUGCUGAAUCUAUCUUUCCAGGGCAAGAAGCAUCCCUGCCAGAGCUGCCAUCCUCCUCCCUCCUUCUGUCUCCCUACUCCCCUCCCCUUCAAUCCUAGCCUCCCCAUAGGCUGUCCGAGGGCAAGAAAUGAGUGGAGGAAGGACAGGACAAUGCCUCUGGCUCCUGUUAGUGACCAGAGUCACCGUCUGUCAGGAGUGGUGGGGAAGACUGGGGUUCAGAAGGAGAGAGGCCCCCAUGGGGACCCUCACAGUGAAGAGACAUCACCGAUUGAGCGACGUGGACAGUGGAGCCUUAGAUAUGGAGGAGGGUUCAGAAAGAUGGAGAGAUGUGGAUGUCAGUGAGGAGUCAGAGACCGACAGACACGUCCGCAGGUGUUGAGGAAGAGAUGACUGGGGUUUAGAUCGAAGCCCUAAGGGGGCCUUCAACCUCCUCCAUUGAGAUUCUUAUCCCAAGAUAAUAGGAAAGAAUUCCACAGAGAAACGGGGUCUUAGAGUCACGUGGACAUCAGAGUCACAGAAGGAAAGAUGGAAAGUCACGGAGGGCAGUGAGGAGUUGGGGGUGGAGGUCCUACCUGCCUCAGUCACUGUCCCUCUCUGCUCCUCAGGCCCGAAGCCUCAGGAGAAGGGCUCUGUCCCGGAUUGGGCCAUCGUGCUGAUCACCCUCACUGUGGCGGCAGCCAUUGUUGGUCUACUGUACGGUAUCAAGAAGGCCUGCCAGUUCCGGAAGGAGAUGAGUGUGGGAUGUGGCUGUGGCUCUGUGACCCCUUAUAGCUGCCACCGCGAGGUCCCCGGUCAGCGCUACUCCAUCAAGUGAAGGGGCGGGGCCAGGAUCGCCAAAUGCCCCUCUGCCUUUGGCCUGCCCUCUUCCCCUCCUAAACAGACUCCUGAUUCAAGGCUCAGCCUUCCCGUUCACACUAGCUGGGGCUAUUUCCUGCAGGUGGGUUCCUGGGACCACUGGCUCCCCAGCUCUUCUCCAUCAACAGUGUAAAAGGAAGUCCACUGUCAGUCACCAAGCAGAAGGCUGAGAUUCCAGUCCUGGUUCUGCCGCCAGCCUGCCGUCUGGCACCUGAUUUCUCUGCUGCAGUUUCUCAUCAGUAAGAGGAAGGACCAGGGCUAGAUGAUGUCUAGGGGUCUUCACGGAGUCUGGGCCUGGGCAGUUGGUAUCUUCGCCCUCACCCUUUCUUCCCAUCCUCUUCCCUAUCAGAGAAGCUCCUUAGCUGAGGACACUUUGCUUGGACCUCCCAGGACUUUCCCCCUACACGUCUCCUUCCAUACAGAGUCCCCUUGGACUGACUCCUGAUCCUCCCUAGACCCCCGAUUCUCUUACCUGCUCUGUGAUGCCCUCUGGGUGGUGGUGGACACAAU